AGUGCUGCCCUGCCCCUCCCACUCCUGCCACUGAGAGACUUGAAAACCGACAGCGAAUUUCAUGACGAAGUCGUUUAACUGUCCGGUUUUUGUCCCUUCGCCGCCUUUGCCACCAACAUGUAACCCUCCAUUACUUGUCGUGGCGUCAACUUUGUGCUACACGGUAAACUUUUUCGUGUACGCCGUCCUAAUGUCAUGCUAACACGCUUUUUAUUUACCUUUAUUAGCUCGUUAGCUGUGAAAGUUAGCGAAGAAGUGCAAGACAACGUCUUAAACGCUAAAGCCUCGCGAAUCUCAAAGCAAGCCUUCUGAGAUGAUGGACGUGUAACUAACUCAAAAGAAGAAGACCCACCGUCGCUCACACAGCUCAGUAGCAGCAGAGGAGGACAAUCCAGCCUGGAAAAGUGGUGUCAUGAUUGCGGAGGCAGAUGGGAAAGGACCCCCGCCUGCAGAGGCUAACAAAACUGAGUCCGCGGCGGGAUACAUGUCGUGUAAUGCUCAGCAGGUACAAAGUGGGGCCCCUACACAGCCCGCUGCCUCCACCACCACUGAGGAGGAGGAUGAAAGUGAAGAUGAGUCUGACAUCCUGGAGGAGAGUCCCUGUGGCCGUUGGCAGAAGCGCCGAGAAGAGGUGAAUCAGCGAAAUGUUCCCGGGAUAGACACGGCAUACUUGGCCAUGGAUACUGAGGAAGGGGUGGAGGUGGUGUGGAAUGAAGUCAUGUUCUCAGAGAGGAAGAACUUCAAGCUGCUGGAGGAGAAAGUGAAGGCUGUUUUUGAUAACCUAAUCCAUUUGGAGCAUGCAAAUAUUGUCAAGUUUCACAAGUACUGGAUUGACACCAAGGAGAACCGAGCUCGGGUGAUUUUUAUUACGGAGUACAUGUCAUCAGGAAGCUUGAAGCAGUUUCUGAAGAAGACCAAAAAGAAUCACAAAGCUAUGAACGAAAAGGCUUGGAAGAGAUGGUGCACUCAGAUCCUGUCAGCUCUUAGUUAUCUCCACUCAUGUGAUCCCCCCAUCAUCCAUGGCAACCUGACCUGUGACACCAUCUUCAUCCAGCACAAUGGCCUCAUCAAGAUUGGAUCGGUUGGUCCAGACACCAUCAACAACCAUGUGAAGACAUGCCAUGAGGAACAGAAGAACUUGCAUUUCUUUGCCCCGGAAUAUGGAGCUGUCACUGACGUGAGCACAGCUGUAGACAUCUACUCAUUCGGCAUGUGUGCCCUCGAGAUGGCUCUUUCGGAGAUUCAAGGAAACGGGGAGUCGUCAUAUGUGUCCGAGGAUGCCGUCAAUACUGCCAUACAGCUGCUGGAGGACCCUCUGCAGAGGGAGCUAAUUCAGAAGUGCCUGGAUUGUGAUCCGUGUACGAGGCCCACCGCCCAAGAGCUGCUCUUUCACCAGGCUCUGUUUGAAGUGCCACUACUGAAGCUGCUUGCUGCUCACUGUAUUGUCAGCCACCAAUGCUCUCACAGUUUCCCGCCUUGGAACUCGAUAAGUUCCUGGAGGAUGUUCGAAACGGGAUUUAUCCCCUCACGGCGUUUGGCCGUUCCUCUCCGAAGCAGCCUCGACAGCAGAAUGUUAAAUCUCUCGUUGUCGUUCCUUUGGUCAAGUCCCCCACGCCUGAGCCUGUGGAGCUGGAGACGCGGCGGGUCAUUCAUAUGCAGUGCAAUGUUGAACUCAUUGAAGAGGGACCCAAAUAUCAUCUGACAUUGCUGCUGAAGCUGGAGGACAAGCUGAACAGACAUCUAAGCUGUGACAUGUUACCUCGUAAGCCACACACCUCGAGCAACACACAAAGCAACUAAUAGUGUGGAUUAAAGUAUAAGUAAAAAAUAAUUACUGUUAGUUUUAUAUUGGAUGGUUAUGGCAUCAUUGUCUAUUCCAAAGCGCGCAGUGUUAAUUUUGAGGAUGUGUCCAUAUACGUGCACUGAGGCAUGUGUGAAAGCGAGUGUGAGAUGCCUGACAGAGCGUGCUAACUAUUUUCAGCUGAGACUGUCUCCUCGAUUCUUGCACUUUACGUUUCAGCAGAUCGCAUGUGGGAUUUUAAAAAUAUAUAUUUCUUCUUGACACAAGUCUAUUUCAUCUUUCAAAAGCUCAAAAUGAACACAUCUGUUUGGAACAUCAUAAUUGCUAAAAGCACUGUCUUGCACACACUUACAUUUACAUAUGCAACAUUCUGCUUGUGUUCAUUUGACAGAACGGCAAUGAAAUGUCUAAUGGACAACCUAUCAGCGUUAAUGGUCAGAAAAAAAAAUGUACUUGCACACGCAGGUAUUUGUGUACGUGUAACGUUACAAGCAUGUGAGGAUCCGGCCCCGAGGGGUGACUGGAGCUGACAGCUGUCACCUCUUGUGUCAAAAUAUGUCCGUCUUUUCGCGGCUUGCAGUUUCUUGUGUGUCACUGACACACUUGGACACUUAAUCCAGUGAUUCCCAACCUUUAUUGAGCUAUGUUUUAAGUUUAAGAAAAAUCGUACCGCACACCACUAAACAGAAUUCUCAUAAAAAGAGGAUACCUAUGUAAAUUUCAUGCUUUUUGCCAUUUAAUGGAAGAUCAUUUUAUUGGUUCUUUCUGUCACUGUACAUUGUUGGCAUAGAUAGAGGGACAAAGAUACAUUAUCUACUGUUAAUUAAAAAAAAUUCACCAAUUAAGUGAAAUUUGGUAAGUUCCCGUGGCACCCAGUUACGGCUUUCACGGCACGCUAACGUGCCGCGGAACAUUGGUUGGGAAUCACCCACUUAAUCUCCUGUUUUUACUCACACUCGCUUCUUUUCACACACUGCACGUCAACGCAGUGUCAGACUUCAUUAUUAACAAAGUAAUUGGUGCCCAUCAAUUAUGUAAAAAUACACUGCAGGCCUGUCAUGGGAUCUUGAAAUUGUUGAACAUGUUAUCAAGACUUUAAAAGUCUGAGUGAGAAGCAUUUCAACUUUGGGUAAAUAGCUUUACAUUUUUAAUAUUAUAUUUCAAUUUCAGUUGUGGUAAUGCAUUCUGAUGAUGUUUCAUAGUUUGCUUGUAAGGUGUACAUAAACUUCUCUUGAAAUGACUAAAGAUUAAAUUCAAAUUUUCCAACUAGCCAUUAAACAUAAUAAUCAAGGAAGAACAACAGUUCUUUGAAAAAAGUGAAUGAUCUCAAAUCACAACUGGAUCAGAACUACAUUUUUUGUUGGGGGCGUUAAAAAUCAACAUCUGAGCAGGAUGUUGUGAACAUAUACCGGUCGUCACGUGAAAGGGAUGUAACAUGUUUACUAACUGCUGGUUUGGCUUUCAGAAGAAAAUAUUCAUGAUUUGGCUGGUGAAUUGGUGCAACUGGGCUUCAUCUGUGAGAUGGACCAAACCAAAAUAGCCUCACUCCUCGAGGAAAGCUUCAGUCAAGCACUUAACUAGCACCAGGUGCUACACGAUAUUUUCCCUUUACAAGCACUCACCAUGCUGGAUUCCUGAAAUUGAAUGUGACCAAAAAAAGCGUUUGUUUCUGUUACAUCAAGGAUGAACCCCACAAGUGCAUUUAAUUGAUACCAAAUAAGCUACGCCGUGCCUAUCUGCAACGUCAAUUCACAUGAUGCACCCUGUUGAUUGAUUCUCAUUGAUCUUUUUACGUGACAACACAUUCCCAGCUCUUUGACCAUCCUGUCAGGUUCUAUAUAAAGUAUUAGUCUCACAACUGUAGUGUGGAAAGCAACAAGCAUUAAUGCCUGAAAGCUUAGUUGUUCAGCAGGCCUUUGGAACAAGAGCACGAUUCUGCUUGUCGCGCGUGUGCUGCCGAUCUUGCCGAGUAUCUGUAAACUGUUACUGUGAGGGGCUGUGAACUCAGUGUUAUGUUUUUCUCUUGCUUUUUGUUUUUAUAUGUCCUUCCACUUUAAAAACGUCUCAUCUCAAUUCGCUUCUUUUGUCUUAUUUGUUGUUUUACCAGUUUUACCGAGAGUACUUUUUUCGCCUGUGCCUUUUACACUGAUAUCAGCUGCCAUGUACUGUUGUUAAAAAAGGCUUUUCCUAAUGUACGCCCAUUUUCAGGAGAUAGUUCCACACAUUCUAUGUGUUACAGAUAUUGUGUAGAAUGUGUGUUCCUCUUUCACAUAGUAUGCUUUGACACCAUCAUGGUAAGCGUCUGUGGCACUUUGCAAACUCUAUUGGCGUUUGCCCUUAUUUUUCAUUUCAUGGCAGGGACACUUGAGUGGAAUAACAAUUUGGAUCCAUUUGUUGCCUCCAAUUUUUUUGCAUGGUGCAUAGUCUCAUGAGAGGCAGUAAGAACACAAAAAAUAGUUCAGCCAUUACCUCCAAAGUCCGAACAAUCCAUUGUUCUAAUGAUCUCAAAUUUAUCAUUUGAAUUAUGGUGCAGAGUCAUCUGUACUCUUCUGUUGAAACAAAACUAAUAUACUAUAUGUAGUCUCCCUUAACUUAGAGACAUAAAAUGUAUUUUGUGUUCUUUUUACUACCAUUCCUGUCUUUUGUUUAGUUAGCCAUAAUGUACUGGAGAGCAGACUGUCGAGGAAAAACCGACCAUGUUGCUAUUUUGCACAAGAGUAUGCGCUUCCACAGGCCAAUAAGUAAAGUGGUGUGGGCCCGGGUUGUCAUUGUUACCUUUAGAGAGUUCCUUUCCAGUGUACAUUCCAAUGUUAUUUUAUUAUUAGCAAUAUCGUUGUGUAUAAGCAGGGCACUGAUAAGUGCAAGCCGUUUUCAAUAUCGCACAUCAGUUUCCAGUCACCAGUGGUACCCUCCUGUAGUGGCAAUGCUCAAAAUUCAACCCCACAAUGCCCCGAAAAAAGUGUCCUUCUUACUGAGCUCAAGUUUCUGGAUGAAUCCACCUCCCAAGUUUUAAUGUGAGGCAUAUUCCCCCAGAAAUUGUUGGUCGGAUACCAAACACUUUUAUAGAGUAAGUGUUCAAAAAGAUAAACCUGUCCAACAACACUAUUAGUGAAUCAUGUGUACUUCAAUUCAUUUUGUUACAUAAUCUUUCUCAGUGUGGAGUCAAGGUGUUCACCUGGGAAUUGUUUUUCCUCCAAAUUUUGCAUUUGGGUUUUGUGUGUGUCAAGAACGUCACUUUGUUGUUGUUGUUUUCUACGAAGUGCAUCUUGACAGAAUGUGCAAAUGAUGACUGCUCUUUCAAAUAAAUGUGUGAAAAGCUUC